GCUUCCGGCUUGCGGCUUCCGGCUUCCGGCUUCCGGCGGAGCCCGCCCUCGACCGGCUGGGCAGUCAUGGCCGCGGAGGAGAAGGAUCCCCUGAGCUACUUCGCGGCCUAUGGCAGCAGCAGCAGCAGCUCAGGCUCCUCGAGCGAGGAGGACAACAGCGAGCCGGAGGAAACGAGUCGCAGGGCCCCGGAUCCGGCGACGUCGGCGGGCGGCUGCGGGAACCUGGCGGAGAAGCGGCUGCCUGGCCCCGACGAGCUGUUCCGGAGCGUGACUCGCCCGGCCUUUCUCUACAACCCGCUCAACAAGCAGAUAGACUGGGAGCGGCACGUGGUCAAGGCGCCGGAGGAGCCUCCAAAGGAAUUCAAAGUAUGGAAGUCCAACUAUGUAUCUCCUCCGGAGACCUACUCUGCUGAGAAGAAACCUCCGCCUCCAGAGCUGGACAUGGCGAUAAAAUGGUCUAACAUAUACGAGGACAAUGGUGACGAUGCCCCACCGAGUGCUAAGAAAGCUAGGCUUCUGCCCGAAGGGGAGGAGACCGUGGAGUCAGGAGGGGAAGAUGGCUGUUUUUCUGUGGCCAUUGGAAUAUUAUGACCCUCCUAGGAACGGGUGAGAAGGUAGAACUACCUACAUAGGACAGAAUUGAAAAUACAGUUUCAGAGAAGAUCUACCUAUGAUGAAAAAGACGAGCAUACUUCUAAAAAGCGCAAAAUAGAACCAGGAGAACCAACAAAGAAGAAAAAAUAAAUAGAAAACAAAUGACAAGAAUUUCUGGACUGCGAAACUUGUUGAAAUGGUCCUUUUCGACAGAUUAAGUUGAUAUUGUAAAUUAUUAUGAAACAACAUCUUCAUGAAAGUUCAUGUUAAUUAACUAGUGAGUAUUGCUGCAGGAACCUUCCACUGUAGAAUUCAUUUUUUAUUUAAAAAUAUGUAUUUAAAACUCAGAUGGUAUCUUGUGAUUGUGAAACUGACAACACUUGGAAGUGUUCUUGCUGUCACAGAAUUGGUGACACACUUGGAGAGUUUUGUCCCAUGUUGACAUACCGAUGUUCUAUGAACCUUUUAUAAAGGAAUAUAUUUUUAAAGUAAAUGUAAUGUACUGUGAACUCGUAGGUGCUUUGCAACAGUGUUUGUACAGUGUAAAUAGAUCAUGGAAAUAAAAUUGCCAGUGUUACCAGUGCUGCAUAACAGUAA